rnacentral:rRNA from 1 species
UACAGAGGUCUCAAGCGUUGUUCGGAUUCAUUGGGCGUAAAGGGCGCGUAGGCGGCCACGACAAGUCAGUUGUGAAAUCUCUGGGCUUAACUCAGAACGGUCAACUGAUACUGUCGGGCUAGAGUGCAGAAGGGGCAACUGGAAUUCUCGGUGUAGCGGUGAAAUGCGUAGAUAUCGAGAGGAACACCUGCGGCGAAGGCGGGUUGCUGGGCUGACACUGACGCUGAGGCGCGAAAGCUAGGGGAGCGAACGGG